GCGCGGAUAGUGUAGUGGUUAGCAUGCGUGCUUCCCAAGCACGCGUCCCGGGUUCGAAUCCCGGUUCGCGCA
rfam:Beauveria bassiana ARSEF 2860 unplaced genomic scaffold BBA_S00019, whole genome shotgun sequence.